rnacentral:rRNA from 1 species
GAUGAACGCUGGCGGCGUGCCUAAUACAUGCAAGUCGAGCGAACGGACGAGAAGCUUGCUUCUCUGAUGUUAGCGGCGGACGGGUGAGUAACACGUGGAUAACCUACCUAUAAGACUGGGAUAACUUCGGGAAACCGGAGCUAAUACCGGAUGAUAUUUUGAACCGCAUGGUUCAAAAGUGAAAGACGGUCUUGCUGUCACUUAUAGAUGGAUCCGCGCUGCAUUAGCUAGUUGGUAAGGUAACGGCUUACCAAGGCAACGAUGCAUAGCCGACCUGAGAGGGUGAUCGGCCACACUGGAACUGAGACACGGUCCAGACUCCUACGGGAGGCAGCAGUAGGGAAUCUUCCGCAAUGGGCGAAAGCCUGACAGAGCAACGCCGCGUGAGUGAUGAAGGUCUUCGGAUCGUAAAACUCUGUUAUUAGGGAAGAACAUAUGUGUAAGUACCUGUGCACAUCUUGACGGUACCUAAUCAGAAAGCCACGGCUAACUACGUG